rnacentral:misc_RNA from 1 species
UUUCAUUGAUGUAGUAUGAACAGAGACCCGACAAAUGGAAGAACAGCGACAAGUUACAGCUUUUUCCUCUCUGGACUAAGGAAGGACACGUUAACCGCACACCACUAACGUACAAGGUUGGGCCUUCACAUGAUUAAUCCCAUCUCGUGAGCAUAAUUUAGUUACAGCUAAGCGAAGCGUUACACGGGUAGUAAGCGACUGUUACAAGAGAAGUAGAGACAGACAGGAGAGGACACGAGGCGACCUCUUGGAUUGGAUCUGGCAGUUAACCGGGCCGCACUCGGACCCACUCGUACCGGCCGCCGUCCAUGGGAGCGUCCUUGACGACGUCAUAGUUGUACCUUGAACACAACCAAAAGAUCCAAAAUGGUACACGCUGAUUAACGCGCUCCCGGCAUGUGAAGUUGGGAACAGUUUGUUCGGAUUCGGCAAAGGGUGUGGAGAGAGUCAGAGCCGAAGUGAAUUUGUAUCUUUUUUUUUUAAAAAAAUGAAUAUGAAUAAAUGGAAACUAAAGUAAAAAAAGGGGCUAGCUAUUGCCUAUUGGCCUGUGGAAAGCUCCACAGCCUGUGCCAGCGCGAAAAGGCCCAGUGACGAGUUGGAGCCGUCCCAAAAGGAGGCCUGGGCUCAAUUCAGCAGGAACAGGGAGCGGCAGGCAGGUGGAGCUGACAUACUAUACUCUACUCACUUGACCGCGAAGCGCCGCGCCAUGCCGCGCUCCGCUGCGGCGAGGAACGCCUCCACCUCCUCCGCCGGCGGCGACCUCCCCACCUUUCCCUUCUUCGGUCUGCCGAACACAACAGGGGAAUUGUUUAAGCACGCGGGAUCGAGCAUGAAGGGAGGAGGAGGAGGAGGUCAGAGAGGGAGACUGACAUGCCGGCGCCCGCAAUGUCGCUCUGGAGCCUGCUGCAUCCCAGCACCGCCGCCGUCGCUGUGGCAGCGGCCAUACUUUUCUGCUUCGUCGCGCCUGUGUGCGGUGCGGGCGGUGAGGGACUGUGGGUGCGUUGCGAGUUGGAAGGUGAUGACUGGUAACGAUGGGAUUAGGUGGGAAUCGGCGCGGAAAGCCGCGGUUACUUAUGCAGCCUCUCGGUCGGGCCUCCUGGCUGCUGUCCUGUCCUUCCUGGGUCUGGAUUCCCGUGGAGUAGGAGGCA